GGGAGGUGCUGCGUCAUUUUUCCUUCGGCAAGAGAGGGAGUGACGGCUUGGAAGGACAAUGUGGUGUGGGAGGGAGGGAGAACUUGGAGAAAGACCCAAGUACAUCCUUAGUGGUGAGGCAAUCCUAUGCAGCAGCUCUAAAGACGGGACAUGCUUCGGGGGUUCAGAGUGUGGGGGGUUUGUCAAUCACGCCUCAAGACCAGCUUGUCAAGAUGCACAACUCUCUACAGGAGAUGGAAACCCAAUUUGUCGAGUUGAAGACAGCGAUAACUUUCUUGUCUACGAAAAUAGAUCGGCUUUCAGCUGGAGGCAACAGGGUGGUAAGAAACAUGAUAGGCCCGAAUCUUUUAAACUUAGAAAAAGAAAAACGGAAGAUUGGAUUCGGCCCUGUCCCUAUAACCAGAUCCAGGAGAGUAUGGCGGGUCAAAAGGAAAUCUGGGUUAUUUGAAGUGGGGUCUACAUCGGGUAUUGGCGUAGAGACAUCAGUAAUGGAAUGGAAGUCUAAAGGGAGGGUAUUGUGAAGACGAGAAUCAAGGUGUUGGGGUUGGUGUUCGGGUAGAGUUUUAGUUCUACGGGAAACAAGGAUUGGGGUCGGGUCUGAUGUACUUUGGGUUGGUUUUUUAUGGGCUUUUUGGGUCAUUAGGGGAUUGUUGAGUCAUUUUGGGCAAUGUGUUUUCUUGUAUACAUUUAGUGUACUUGGUUUCUCCUUUUGAUAUACAAUAUUUUUACUUAU